UACGUAGGGAGCGAGCGUUAUCCGGAUUUAUUGGGUUUAAAGGGUGCGCAGGCGGCACGGCAAGCCGGCGGUCAAAUCGCGGGGCUCAACCCCGCCCAGCCGUCGGAACUGCCGGGCUAGAGUGGGCGAGAAGUGCGCGGAAUGCGUGGUGUAGCGGUGAAAUGCAUAGAUAUCACGCAGAACUCCGAUUGCGAAGGCAGCGCACCGGCGCCCUACUGACGCUCAGGCACGAAAGCGUGGGUAUCGAACAGG
rnacentral:rRNA from 1 species